GACGGAGGAUGCAAGCGUUAUCCGGAAUUAUUGGGCGUAAAGCGUCCGCAGGUGGACAUACAAGUCUGCUGUCAAAGUGCAGAGCUUAACUCUGUAAAGGCGGUGGAAACUGUAGGUCUUGAGUAUGGUAGGGGUAGAGGGAAUUCCCGGUGUAGCGGUGAAAUGCGUAGAUAUCGGGAAGAACACCAGUGGCGAAGGCGACUUACUGGACACAUAUUGACGCUGAGGUGCGAAAGCGUGGGGAGCAAACAGG
rnacentral:rRNA from 1 species